rnacentral:rRNA from 1 species
GACGAACGCUGGCGGCGUGCUUAACACAUGCAAGUCGAACGGAAAGGCCCUGCUUUUGUGGGGUGCUCGAGUGGCGAACGGGUGAGUAACACGUGAGUAACCUGCCCUUGACUUUGGGAUAACUUCAGGAAACUGGGGCUAAUACCGGAUAGGAGCUCCUGCUGCAUGGUGGGGGUUGGAAAGUUUCGGCGGUUGGGGAUGGACUCGCGGCUUAUCAGCUUGUUGGUGGGGUAGUGGCUUACCAAGGCUUUGACGGGUAGCCGGCCUGAGAGGGUGACCGGCCACAUGGGGACUGAGAUACGGCCCAGACUCCUACGGGAGGCAGCAGUGGGGAAUAUUGCACAAUGGGGGGAAGCCUGAUGCAGCAGCGCCGCGUGCGGGAUGACGGCCUUCGGGUUGUAAACCGCUUUCGCCUGUGACGAAGCGGGAGUGACGGUAAUGGGUAAAGAAGCACCGGCUAACUACGUG